rnacentral:rRNA from 1 species
UAGGGAAUCUUCCACAAUGGGCGAAGCCUGAUGGAGCAACGCCGCGUGUGUGAUGAAGGGUUUCGGCUCGUAAAGCUCUGUUGUAAGAGAAGAACGUGUGUGAGAGUGGAAAGUUCACACAGUGACGGUAACUUACCAGAAAGGGACGGCUAACUACGUGCCAG